rnacentral:rRNA from 1 species
CAGCAGCCGCGUAAUACAGAGGGUGCGAGCGUUAAUCGGAUUUACUGGGCGUAAAGCGUGCGUAGGCGGCUUCUUAAGUCGGAUGUGAAAUCCCUGAGCUUAACUUAGGAAUUGCAUUCGAUACUGGGAAGCUAGAGUAUGGGAGAGGAUGGUAGAAUUCCAGGUGUAGCGGUGAAAUGCGUAGAGAUCUGGAGGAAUACCGAUGGCGAAGGCAGCCAUCUGGCCUAAUACUGACGCUGAGGUACGAAAGCAUGGGGAGCAAACAGGAUUAGAUACCCCAGUAGUCCCUGUCUCUUAUACA